UGGGGAAUAUUGCACAAUGGAGGGAACUCUGAUGCAGCGACGCCGCGUGAGUGAUGAAGGAAUUCGUUUCGUAAAACUCUGUUCUAUGGGAAGAAAAGGACUGUACCAUAGGAGAAAGCUCCGGCUAAAUACGUGCCAGCAGCUGCGGUAAUACGUAUGGAGCGAGAGUUGUCCGGAAUUAUUGGGCGUAAAGGGUGCGCAGGCGGCAUUACAAGUUGGAUGUGAAAUAUUGGGGCUCAACCACAAACGUGCAUCCAAAACUGCAAAGCUUGAGUUAAGGAGAGGUAAGUGGAAUACCUAGUGUAGCGGUGUAAUACGUAGAUAUCAUGAGGAAUACCGGUUGCGAAGGCGACUUACUGGACUUAAACUGACGCUAAGGCACGAAAGCGUGGGGAGCAAACAGG
rnacentral:rRNA from 1 species